UACGGAGGGUCCAAGCGUUAUCCGGAAUCAUUGGGUUUAAAGGGUCCGUAGGCGGUUUUGUAAGUCAGUGGUGAAAGCCCAUCGCUCAACGGUGGAACGGCCAUUGAUACUGCAAGACUUGAAUUAUUGUGAAGUAACUAGAAUAUGUAGUGUAGCGGUGAAAUGCUUAGAGAUUACAUGGAAUACCAAGUGCGAAGGCAGGUUACUAACAAUAUAUUGACGCUGAUGGACGAAAGCGUGGGUAGCGAACAGG
rnacentral:rRNA from 1 species